GUACGGGAGGCAGCAGUGGGGAAUAUUGCGCAAUGGGGGAAACCCUGACGCAGCAACGCCGCGUGGAGGAUGAAGGCCUUCGGGUUGUAAACUCCUGUCUUCGCUGACGAUAAUGACGGUAAGCGAGGAGGAAGCCACGGCUAACUACGUGCCAGCAGCCGCGGUAAUACGUAGGUGGCGAGCGUUGUCCGGAAUUACUGGGCGUAAAGGGUGCGUAGGCGGAAUAUUAAGUCAGAUGUGAAAUCCCAGGGCUUAACCUUGGAGUGGCAUUUGAAACUGGUAUUCUAGAGUGCAGGAGAGGAAAGCGGAAUUCCUAGUGUAGCGGUGAAAUGCGUAGAUAUUAGGAAGAACACCAGUGGCGAAGGCGGCUUUCUGGACUGUAACUGACGCUGAGGCACGAAAGCGUGGGGAGCAAACAGGAUUAGAUACCCCGGU
rnacentral:rRNA from 1 species